CCUACGGGAGGCAGCAGUGAGGAAUAUUGGUCAAUGGACGCAAGUCUGAACCAGCCAUGCAGCGUGCAGGAUGACGGCUCUAUGAGUUGUAAACUGCUUUUGUACGAGGGUAAACCCCGAUACGUGUAUCGGGUUGCAAGUAUCGUACGAAUAAGGAUCGGCUAACUCCGUGCCAGCAGCCGCGGUAAUAAGGAGGAUCCGAGCGUUAUCCGGAUUUAUUGGGUUUAAAGGGUGCGUAGGCGGUUUGAUAAGCUAGCUGUGAAAUGUCGGGGCUCAACCCCGAAACUGCCUCUAAUACUGUUUGACUAGAGAACAGGUGCGGUAGGCGGAAUGUAUGGUGUAGCGGUGAAAUGCUUAGAGAUCAUACAGAACACCGAUUGCGAAGGCAGCUUACCAAACUAUAUCUGACGUUGAUGCACGAAAGCGUGGGUAGCAAACAGGAUUAGAUACCCCUGUAGUC
rnacentral:rRNA from 1 species